rnacentral:rRNA from 1 species
GACGAACCGUGCGAACGUUAUUCGGAAUCACUGGGCUUAAAGGGCGCGUAGGCGGGCUCGUAAGUCAGGGGUGAAAUCCCACGGCCCAACCGUGGAAGUGCCUCUGAUACUGCGGGCCUCGAGGGGGAUAGGGGCGUGCGGAACUCAGGGUGGAGCGGUGAAAUGCGUAGAUAUCUGGAGGAACACCGGUGGCGAAGGCGGCAUCCUGGGUCGGUAUUGACGCUGAGGAGCGAAAGCCAGGGGAGCAAACGGG